AGAGUUGAUCCUGGCUCAGAACGAACGCUGGCGGCGCGCUUAAGCAUGCAAGUCGAACGGCAAGAGGUAGCAAUACCUCCUAGAGUGGCGGACUGGUGAGUAACACGUGGGUGACAUACCCUUCAGAUGGGGAUAGCUAUUAGAAAUAGUAGAUAAUACCGAAUACGAGCACAGGGGUUAGAGAUCUGUGAGGAAAGGAGCUAAGGCUCCGCUGAAGGAAUGGCCUGCGGCCCAUUAGCUAGUUGGUGAGGUAAGAGCCCACCAAGGCGAUGAUGGGUAUCCGGCCUUAGAGGGUGAACGGACACAUUGGGACUGAGAUACGGCCCAGACUCCUACGGGAGGCAGCAGCUAAGAAUAUUCCGCAAUGGACGAAAGUCUGACGGAGCGACGCCGCCGUGGAUGAAGAAGGCCGGAAGGUUGUAAAAUCCUUUUGAAACUGAAGAAUAAGCGUUGUAGGGAAUGACAGCGUGGUGACAGUAGGUUUUGAAUAAGCAACGGCUAAUUACGUGCCAGCCGCGGC
rnacentral:rRNA from 1 species